GGGAGUGGGAUUAGUUUUGCUCCUUUUAUGGAGACUAAUAGGCUAAGUUAGCAUAACUUUGGGUCAUUAGCCUCCUCUGAGAUCCUAUAAAGUUCACCUUUAGGACACUGAUGCCAGUGGGAGCCCCACCUGUGACCCUCGGAGGUUGGGCUCUGACUCAGAACGCCGCUCCUUUCUUGACCGUAGUUCCCACACUCUGUUCAGACUGAACUUCCAGCUUAAUUCUGACUCACACUCCAGUGUUUCUGCCUGAAAGGACACAUGUGACUUCUCCGUCUACUAGCAGGCUGGCAGCACAUGAUGGCCAGGAGUGAUUCAUGGACAUGUGUAAUUUUCCCUGAGAGAUUCACAAAUGUUAGGAGAGAGGGAAAGCUGAGAGAUGCCUUACCAUCUUCAAAUGAGCCAAGUUGGGGCUGGGAGCUUCGAGUCUGCAAUUAAGGCUCAAAGACCUUCCCAGAAUUCAAGCCAAGUAUCAAGAAGAUGACACUUAGGUAGAUGUUAGCACCGCAUUCAGGAGAAGCAGCAUCUCCAGCUCUGACUCCAAAGAAAGCCAAGGAACACGGGUCUUGCAGCAGGACAGGACUGCCAGAGGCACGCGGUCUAGACAAGAAGGGCCUAGAGAAAAGUCUCCUCUGGAAGCAGCGUCUUAAUGGAGUGUGACUACCCUGUGCGAUAUCCUCUGCGAUCAUCUCCUCUGCUACUCUCCUGAAGAGGAAAAUUCAAAAUAAAAAGCUGCAUAAACAUGAUAUUAUAGUAUACUACAGUUCCUUUAUAACUUUUGAUAAAUUUCUUCUUCCCCUUAGUUUAUUUUCUUGCUCCAAUAGUUUCAAAAUUCUUUUUAAAUUCCUCUAAUCAUGUGCUUCUCAAAAUGUGGUUCCCAGACUAGCAGCAUUGACAUCAUCAGAGGACUUGUUAGAAGCAUGACCUAUCAGCCACCCCAGAUUACACAAUCUGACACUUGGCGGGCUGCCUGGCCAGCGGUGAGGUUACAAGCCCUCCAGGGGAUUCUGAAGCACCUCAAGUUUUAACACCACUGCUCUAACCAUCCUCCCUUUUCUUAGCCAUGACCUUUUUAAGUAUAAUAUGUAUUAGUAGGGGCUACAAAUUUGCUGAGUCGCCUUCCUUUCCCUUACUCUAACCUUCCAGUCACCACUCUGCUUGGAUUCUUUCCUCAGCAAAUUUCUCUCAACAUUUUCUCUCCCAUCUUGGAAUGCCACUGCUCCUUCCUAGAUCAGCGACUGGAGUUUGCGGUCCUUUUCCAUCUAUCUGGCAAUUGUCAACACGCCCUA
ensembl:lncRNA